GGCUCAGAACGAACGCUGGCGGCGCGCCUAAUACGUGCAAGUCGAGCGAGAAGACGUAGCAAUACGUUUGUAAAGCGGCGAACGGGUGAGGAAUACAUGGGUAACCUACCCUAGAGUGGGGAAUAACUAGCCGAAAGGUUAGCUAAUACCGCGUACGCUCCUUGGACUUCGGCUCAGGGAGGAAAGCGAUACCGAGGGUAUCGCGCUCUUGGAUGGGCUCAUGUCCUAUCAGCUUGUUGGUGAGGUAACGGCUCACCAAGGCUUCGACGGGCAGCUGGUCUGAGAGGACGAUCAGCCACACUGGCACUGCGACACGGGCCAGACUCCUACGGGAGGCAGCAGUAAGGAAUAUUGCGCAAUGGGCGAAAGCCUGACGCAGCGACGCCGCGUGGGGGAUGAAGGUCUUCGGAUUGUAAACCCCUUUCGGGAGGGAAGAUGGAGCGAGCAAUCGUUCGGACGGUACCUCCAGAAGCAGCCACGGCCAACUUCGUGCCAGCAGCCGCGGUAAUACGAAGGUGGCAAGCGUUGUUCGGAUUCACUGGGCGUACAGGGUGUGUAGGCGGUUUGGUAAGCCUUCUGUUAAAGCUUCGGGCCCAACCCGGAAAGCGCAGAGGGUACUGCCAGGCUAGAGGGUGGGAGAGGAGCGCGGAAUUCCCGGUGUAGCGGUGAAGUGCGUAGAGA
rnacentral:rRNA from 1 species